rnacentral:rRNA from 1 species
UACAGAGGGUGCGAGCGUUGUUCGGAAUUACUGGGCGUAAAGCGCGCGCAGGCGGCCUUUUAAGUCUGCUGGUGAAAUGCCGGGGCUCAACCCCGUGCCCGCCACAGAUACUGGGAGGCUGGAGACGAGUAGAGGCAAGCGGAAUUCCGGGUGUAGCGGUGGAAUGCGUAGAUAUCAGGAGGAACACCUGUGGUGUAGACAGCUUACUGGACCAUCACUGACGCUGAGACACGAAAGCGUGGGUAGCAAACAGG